rnacentral:rRNA from 1 species
UCGAGAAUCUUCCGCAAUGGACGCAAGUCUGACGGAGCGACGCCGCGUGCGGGAUGAAGGCCUUCGGGUUGUAAACCGCUGUCAGUGGGGUGGAAAUCUUAUGGGGUUCUCUCCAUAAGUUGACCUAACCGCAGAGGAAGUCCGGGCUAAGUACGUGCCAGCAGCCGCGGUAAUACGUACCGGACGAACGUUAUUCGGAAUUACUGGGCUUAAAGAGUGCGUAGGCGGUCUAAAAGGUGGGGUGUGAAAUCCCACGGCUCAACCGUGGAAUUGCGCUCCAAACCGUUAGGCUUGAGGGAGACAGGGGUGAGCGGAACUGAUGGUGGAGCGGUGAAAUGCGUUGAUAUCAUCAGGAACACCGGUGGCGAAGGCGGCUCACUGGGUCUCUUCUGACGCUGAGGCACGAAAGCUAGGGUAGCGAACGGGAUUAGAUACCCCUGUAGUCC